rnacentral:misc_RNA from 1 species
GCUAAAGAACAAAGAAGUGGU